GGCUUGUAUCGACCCGAGCCGUGCCGGAGCUAACGCGUUAAGUAUCCCGCCUGGGGAGUACGCACGCAAGUGUGAAACUCAAAGGAAUUGACGGGGGCCCGCACAAGCGGUGGAGUAUGUGGUUUAAUUCGAUGCAACGCGAAGAACCUUACCAAGACUUGACAUCCUGCGAAUUCCGGUGAAAGCUGGGAGUGCCUUAGGGAGCGCAGAGACAGGUGGUGCAUGGCUGUCGUCAGCUCGUGUCGUGAGAUGUUGGGUUAAGUCCCGCAACGAGCGCAACCCUCGUUUUUAGUUGCCAGCAUUAAGUUGGGCACUCUAGAGAGACUGCCGGUGACAAACCGGAGGAAGG
rnacentral:rRNA from 1 species